AAACCAUGGUGUGGACAUUGCUGCAACAAGUUUAGGAAUUUGUCCCAUGCUUUGCAUAAUGACUCUCCAUCUUUUUGUUCAAAGUUCAUGAUUUAAUUGCUUAGAUC